AGAAAUGGGCAGGACCAAUUAUAGAAGAGCUUUUGGCCUUCAGCACGGUGGUGUUGCAUUGCAUAGAAAGCACAACAGCUCGAUUGGCACAGCUAUCACAAAUGUUAAAUCGUCACUGGGAGAGGAUCUUGUGUAGAGCUUUAUAUCAAACCACCCUGCAAUCAAUUGAGGAGGAAAAUGUCUAGCUGUUUAUUGUUCUGAGCAGAGGGAGCAAAAAGCGCAAUGACAGUCUUGUUGAUUUCACCUGUGAAGUUGCAAGGAUGCGACGAACCUUCCUUAGCUAGAACUGGUGAUACAAAUCUUGGCCAGAAAAUCUUUAUUUGUAUGAAAUGAAGUAUGAUUACAUCAGAUUAGACCAUGUCAUCAAACCAUAUGGUGAGCUUAAUCGCAAAGGAUGAAGAAUGAUUGUUCUUUUGUAAA